UGUCGACCAAAAUCACUGGAGGUUUCUGAAACUCUGUGAACCACACAGUCUUUCUGGUGGAUCAAGUUCAGCAGAAGACGAUUCAAAACCUGCAAAAACAUUUAGAUUGCCAGAGAAGUGAUGAAGACUUUCCUGUUAUUCCAGCAUCAGUUUUGAAA